GAUGAACGCUAGCUACAGGCUUAACACAUGCAAGUCGAGGGGCAGCAGGGAUUUAGCUUGCUAAAUUCGCUGGCGACCGGCGCACGGGUGCGUAACGCGUAUCCAACUUUCCCGUUACUCUCGGAUAGCCUUCCGAAAGGGAGAUUAAUACGAGAUGGUGUUUUAAUUCCGCAUGUUAUUUGAACUAAAGAUUUAUCGGUAACGGAUGGGGAUGCGUACCAUUAGAUAGUAGGCGGGGUAACGGCCCACCUAGUCGACGAUGGUUAGGGGUUCUGAGAGGAAGGUCCCCCACACUGGAACUGAGACACGGUCCAGACUCCUACGGGAGGCAGCAGUGAGGAAUAUUGGUCAAUGGCCGAGAGGCUGAACCAGCCAAGUAGCGUGAAGGAUGAAGGUUCUAUGGAUUGUAAACUUCUUUUAUACGGGAAUAACACCAUCUACGUGUAGAUGUCUGCAUGUACCGUAUGAAUAAGCAUCGGCUAACUCCGUG
rnacentral:rRNA from 1 species